UCCUUUCAGAUGUCUCCUGCUUGUGUUGU
rnacentral:piRNA from 1 species